rnacentral:miRNA from 1 species
GCCUGAAUGCGCUCGCUCGCUCUCUCUCUCUCUCUCUCUCUCUCUCUCUCUCACACACACACACACACACACACACACACACACACAGAGAGAGAGAGAGAGAGAGAGAGAGAGAGCGAGAGCGAGAGCUGCUGCAAUG